rnacentral:lncRNA from 1 species
AUCUUCUGACAUAUUCCACUCCCGCCCAAUAUUUGAUUCCUCCUGCUUUAUUCAAUUUAUCUUUCUUAUCGAAGUUAGUCCUACAUCACUCAAGAUACAAAUUAGAUCAUAAAAUCAUCAAUUGAUUUCAUCAUCAAAAUCAAGAUUCAAUUGAUCCUUCGGUGUAUCCCCCAAUUCAUCUAACCUGAUACUUGAUUAUUAACUCUAGCCUAACUUUG